AUCUCUAUUUCUAAUAUCUGAAUACACAAGGAAACUAUAAUCUCCUCCUUCACCUUAUCGGUAUCUUCUUUACAACAAUUCAGUCAUACCAAUAACUGCUAUUUCCACCAAUAUAUUCACCCUCAUAAUCUCCAAUUGUAAUAUUGCACCCUCACAGCUUUCAGUAUACAAUUACCCUCAUUCCAAUCACUAGAAUUCUUCACACAGAAUUGCCAUUCAC
rnacentral:lncRNA from 1 species